ACGAACGCUGGCGGCGUGCCUAAUACAUGCAAGUAGAACGCUGAAGGAGGAGCUUGCUUCUCUGGAUGAGUUGCGAACGGGUGAGUAACGCGUAGGUAACCUGCCUGGUAGCGGUGGAUAACUAUUGGAAACGAUAGCUAAUACCGCAUAAGAGUAGAUGUUGCAUGACAUUUGCUUAAAAGGUGCAAUUGCAUCACUACCAGAUGGACCUGCGUUGUAUUAGCUAGUUGGUGGGGUAACGGCUUACCAAGGCGACGAUACAUAGCCGACCUGAGAGGGUGAUCGGCCACACUGGGACUGAGACACGGCCCAGACUCCUACGGGAGGCAGCAGUAGGGAAUCUUCGGCAAUGGACGGAAGUCUGACCGAGCAACGCCGCGUGAGUGAAGAAGGUUUUCGGAUCGUAAAGCUCUGUUGUAAGAGAAGAACGAGUGUGAGAGUGGAAAGUUCACACUGUGACGGUAUCUUACCAGAAAGGGACGGCUAACUACGU
rnacentral:rRNA from 1 species